rnacentral:lncRNA from 1 species
UCAGGGGUUGGGCAUGUUCCAGGAUCUGUUUAUAGACUUCUCUCAGGAGGAAUGGGAGUGCCUGGACACUGCUCAGAAGGACUUAUACAGAAAUGUAAUGAUGGAGAACUAUAGCAGCCUGGUCUCACUAGGUCUCUCUAUCACAAAGCCUGAUGUGAUUUCCUUACUGGAGCAAGGGAAAGAGCCCUGGAUGGUUUCAAGGGACGUACCGGGAGGGUGGUGCCCAGGUGAGUAAGGACUGAGCAGAUGGGGAAGGCACUGCUGUUUAGAACCCACCCCAUCAGGGAGGCAGCACCGUAA